GGGGUGCGGGGGUGAGGCGCGUGUGUGCGUGUGUGUGUGCGUGUGCGAGGCGCGGGUGUGUGGUGCGCGGCGCGCGCCGGCCCCCCUACACGUUGAUCUUAUUCGAUCGGCCGGCGGCGCCGGGCCGAGGUGAGAAGAACGGCGCCGCGAAGCCCGCGGGCAAUGUGCGGCGGCCAGCGGCGGGCGGGAUGAGUCGAUCAGAUAGGCGAGGCCGCGGCCGCUGAGCGCCCUGCGAUUCUGACCCG
rnacentral:snoRNA from 1 species